rnacentral:rRNA from 1 species
CCUACGGGAGGCAGCAGUGGGGAAUAUUGGGCAAUGGGCGCAAGCCUGACCCAGCAACGCCGCGUGAAGGGAGAAGGCUUUCGGGUUGUAAACUUCUUUUAUCAGGGACGAAGCAAGUGACGGUACCUGAUGAAUAAGCCACGGCUAACUACGUGCCAGCAGCCGCGGUAAUACGUAGGUGGCAAGCGUUAUCCGGAUUUACUGGGUGUAAAGGGCGUGUAGGCGGGAGUGCAAGUCAGAUGUGAAAACUAUGGGCUCAACCCAUAGCCUGCAUUUGAAACUGUACUUCUUGAGUGCUGGAGAGGCAAUCGGAAUUCCGGGGGGAGAGGUGAAAGUCGUAGAUAUACGGAGGAACACCAGUGGCGAAGGCGGAUUGCUGGACAGUAACUGACGCUGAUGCUCGAAAGUGUGGGUAUCAAACAGGAUUAGAUACCCCAGUAGUC